GGGUCCUUUUCCAUGGCAUUGAGAAAGUAAUUACCUUGGAAUCAAUGUGCUCUGGUUCUCGAAGAAAGCUUUUUUGUUUUUGUUUUACCUUUUGCUUUUUUCCAUCUCCUCGAGUUUCUUGGGGUCAUUGUGAAUAAGAAAAUGGGAACCGACGUUAAAGGAGCGGCAGACAGAUGGAGAGAAGAGAACGCUCGGAGGUGAUGGUAAUAAUGAGACUUGGUCCCUUGAGAGAGCAUUUAAGUUUAGUUUUUCACUUAGAUAUUAUUGGGCUUCAAGCCCAUAAUUUUAUAGGACAAUUGUGGCCUUUAAUUGAUUUUUGAAUUUUAGGUUUGAUUUUAGACUUUUUAAUAUUCUAAAUACAUGUUUUGCUUUUCGUAGAGGGAAUGGCCUUUUAUAU